rnacentral:tRNA from 1 species
GGGUUAGUGGUCUAGUGGUAUGAUUCUCGCUUCGGGUGCGAGAGGUCCGGGGUUCGAUUCC